rnacentral:rRNA from 1 species
CACGUAGGGGGCAAGCGUUGUCCGGAUUUAUUGGGCGUAAAGAGCUCGUAGGUGGUUCCGUCAGUCGGGUGUGAAAACUCUGGGCUCAACCCAGAGACGCCACCCGAUACUGCGGUGACUGGAGUCCGGUAGGGGAGCGUGGAAUUCCUGGUGUAGCGGUGAAAUGCGCAGAUAUCAGGAGGAACACCAACGGCGAAGGCAGCGCUCUGGGCCGGUACUGACACUGAGGAGCGAAAGCGUGGGUAGCGAACAGG